AAAACUGAGGGAAACAUGUUUUCCAGUUUAUUAUAAAGAUAUUACAGAGACCCUGGGCAACAUGGAGAAACCCUGUCUCUACUAAAAAUACAAAAAAUUAGCCGAGCGUCAUGGCUUGCAAGUGUAGUCCCAGCUACUUGGGAGGCUGAGGUGGGAGAAUCACCUGAACCUGAGAAGUCUAGGCUGCAGUGAGCCAUAAUUGUACCAUUGUCCUCCAGCCUGGGCAACAGGAGUGAGAUCCUGUCUCCAAAAAAAAAUACUAGGAUACAAAUGAAGAGAUGCAUACUGUGAAGUAUGGGAAGGGGCACAGAGCUUCCAUGUCCUCCCUGCCUGUGAUAUCCAGGAAAUUCCUCCAGGAACUUCCACAUGUUCAGCUAUCCAGUAGCUCUUUGUACCCCAUCCUCUUGAGCCUUUUAUGGAGAUUUCAAUGGAUAGGCAUGACUGAAGCAUGGACAAUCAUUUUGGAAAUGUGAUUGGACAAAAAAGAUAUGAUCUGAUACUAACAGACUGAGUGGGGAAACCCAGCAAGGCCUGUCUGCUCAGAUUCUUCUUGGCUUCUCUGUUCAGCAUUCCUUCCAGGAUAUAGGGCAAGACCCAUUCUGAAACAGGGGUCUUAUGACCUACAGCUAGACAAGAUAGGUCAGAGAAAGGCAGGGAUGAUUAGAGUUCUGCUUUGGAGAGAAGGAGCAGGUGAAAGGAGGAGAGGAGGAAGUCAGAAAUAGAUUCUGUUUUCUGAGGCCUAAAGCACCCUAACAUAACAAGACUGUAACAAAGGCUAUGGGAGUUAUGAGCCAGAAACUGUGGACAAAAACAU
rnacentral:lncRNA from 1 species